UUCUGGUUGAUCCUGCCGGACCUGACUGCUAUCGGAUUGAUACUAAGCCAUGCGAGUCUUUGCAGUAAUGCAAGGCAUACGGCUCAGUAACACGUAGUCAACUUACCCUAUGGACGAGGAUAAUCUCGGGAAACUGAGCAUAAUACUCGAUAGAUCAUAAUGCCUGGAAUGGUUUAUGGUUGAAAUGAUUCGUCGCCAUAGGAUAGGACCGCGGCCUAUCAGCUUGUUGGUGAGGUAAUGGCCCACCAAGGCGAUUACAGGUACGGGCUCUGAGAGGAGAAGCCCGGAGAUGGGUACUGAGACAAGGACCCAGGCCCUAUGGGGCGCAGCAGGCGAGAAAACUUUGCAAUGUGC
rnacentral:rRNA from 1 species